rnacentral:piRNA from 1 species
UCGUAUGAACCAGUUGAAUAU